GCGAAUGGAUUAAGAGCUUGCUCUUAUGAAGUUAGCGGCGGACGGGUGAGUAACACGUGGGUAACCUGCCCAUAAGACUGGGAUAACUCCGGGAAACCGGGGCUAAUACCGGAUAACAUUUUGAACCGCAUGGUUCGAAAUUGAAAGGCGGCUUCGGCUGUCACUUAUGGAUGGACCCGCGUCGCAUUAGCUAGUUGGUGAGGUAACGGCUCACCAAGGCAACGAUGCGUAGCCGACCUGAGAGGGUGAUCGGCCACACUGGGACUGAGACACGGCCCAGACUCCUACGGGAGGCAGCAGUAGGGAAUCUUCCGCAAUGGACGAAAGUCUGACGGAGCAACGCCGCGUGAGUGAUGAAGGCUUUCGGGUCGUAAAACUCUGUUGUUAGGGAAGAACAAGUGCUAGUUGAAUAAGCUGGCACCUUGACGGUACCUAACCAGAAAGCCACGGCUAACUACGUGCCAGCAGCCGCGGUAAUACGUAGGUGGCAAGCGUUAUCCGGAAUUAUUGGGCGUAAAGCGCGCGCAGGUGGUUUCUUAAGUCUGAUGUGAAAGCCCACGGCUCAACCGUGGAGGGUCAUUGGAAACUGGGGAGACUUGAGUGCAGAAGAGGAAAGUGGAAUUCCAUGUGUAGCGGUGAAAUGCGUAGAGAUAUGGAGGAACACCAGUGGCGAAGGCGGACUUUCUGGUCU
rnacentral:rRNA from 1 species